CAGUGCCAUGGGGGGGUGUUCCUCCAGCAAUGAUGGCUGGUUCCCACUGAUUUCCAGAGUUGCAAUGUGAAAUGGAAUUGGCUGAUUGAUAGCAGCCAUUAGAAAAGUAGCUAGACAGCAGCAGGAAGGAGUUAGGAAAAACUGCUUGCCAAAAGAAUAUGUAAGUCAUCCAAGUUGGAGCUAAGAGAACAGUCCCACAUUUCCUGCAGCAGCCAUCCAGACAUUUCAAAGACUCAACUUGAAAACUGAUCAGAAAACCCCAAGAGCAAGCUGCAACAUGACUUGGAUUUCUUGAUAAAUCUAUAGAACCCAACUGGCACAGAGGUUGAUGACUGCUCCAAGCGUUUCUGCAAGCACAAUGGGAGAGGCAAGCAUGGAGAGGACUGAAUUUCAGUGACAGAAACCUUCAGGCACAACAUUGCAAAGUGAUGGCUGGAUUUGCACCUGCUUUGGCUGCUCUCAGAGCUAGCAUUAAAGAAACUCACUGGAACAGGAAUAGAUGGCGUCCAACCUUUCUUAAAUGAAAGAAAUGAAGGGUUUUGAAAGUAAAGAAUAGAAGAAA